rnacentral:tRNA from 1 species
GCCCAGGUGGUGGAAUUGGUAGACACGCCAGCUUGAGGGGCUGGUGGCCGCAAGGUCGUGGAGGUUCAAAUCCUCUCCUGGGCA